GGGAUCAUACCAGCACUAAUGAAUUGGAUCCCAUCAUAACUCCACAGUUAAGCGUGCUUGGGUGAGAGUAGUACUACGAUAAGUGACUUCCUAGGAAGUCCAUGUGUUGCACCCC